GAUGAACGCUGGCGGCGUGCCUAAUACAUGCAAGUCGAGCGAACGGACGAGAAGCUUGCUUCUCUGAUGUUAGCGGCGGACGGGUGAGUAACACGUGGAUAACCUACCUAUAAGACUGGGAUAACUUCGGGAAACCGGAGCUAAUACCGGAUAAUAUUUUGAACCGCAUGGUUCAAAAGUGAAAGACGGUCUUGCUGUCACUUAUAGAUGGAUCCGCGCUGCAUUAGCUAGUUGGUAAGGUAACGGCCUACCAAGGCAACGAUGCAUAGCCGACCUGAGAGGGUGAUCGGCCACACUGGAACUGAGACACGGUCCAGACUCCUACGAGAGGCAGCAGUAGGGAAUCUUCCGCAAUGGGCGAAAGCCUGACGGAGCAGCGCCGCGUGAGUGAUGAAGGUCUUCGGAUCGUAAAGCUCUGUUAUUAGGGAAGAACAUAUGUGUAAGUAACUGUGCACAUCUUGACGGUACCUAAUCAGAAAGCCACGGCUAACUACGUG
rnacentral:rRNA from 1 species